CAAUAGCGUAUAUUUAAGUUGCUGCAGUUAAAAAGCUCGUAGUUGGAUUUCGGGUGGGAAUGGCCGGUCCGCCGUUUCGGUGUGCACUUGCUACGCCCACCUUGCUGCCGGGGACGUGCUCUUGAGUUCACGCUCGGGACACGGAGUCGGCGAGGUUACUUUGAGUAAAUUAGAGUGUUCAAAGCAGGCCUACGCUCUGAAUACAUUAGCAUGGAAUAACACGAUAGGACUCUGGCCUAUCUUGUUGGUCUGUAGGACCGGAGUAAUGAUUAAGAGGGACAGUCGGGGGCAUUCGUAUUUCAUUGUCAGAGGUGAAAUUCUUGGAUUUAUGAAAGACGAACUACUGCGAAAGCAUUUACCAAGGAUGUUUUCAUUGA
rnacentral:rRNA from 1 species